UGGGGAAUAUUGGGCAAUGGGCGCAAGCCUGACCCAGCGACGCCGCGUGGGUGAUGAAGGCCUUUGGGUUGCAAAUCCCUUUCGUGCGGAAAGAACAGUCACGUGGUUAAUACCCGCGGGAUUUGACGGUACCGCAGGAAGAAGCAACGGCCAACUCCGUGCCAGCAGCCGCGGUAAUACGGAGGGGGCAAGCGUUGUUCGGAAUUACUGGGUGUAAAGGGCGCGGAGGCGGUAAUGUA
rnacentral:rRNA from 1 species